GACGAACGCUGGCGGCGUGCUUAACACAUGCAAGUCGAACGGAAAGGCCCUGCUUUUGUGGGGUGCUCGAGUGGCGAACGGGUGAGUAACCCGUGGGUAACCUGCCCUUGACUUUGGGAUAACUUCAGGAAACUGGGGCUAAUACCGGAUAGGAGCUCCUGCUGCUUGGGGGGGGUUGGAAAGUUUCGGCGGUUGGGGAUGGACUCGCGGCUUAUCAGCUUGUUGGUGGGGUAGUGGCUUACCAAGGCUUUGAAGGGUAGCCGGCCUGCGAGGGUGACCGGCCACAUUGGGACGGAGAUACGGCCCAGACUACAACGGGAGGCAGCAGUGGGGAAUAGUGCACAAUGGGCGGAAGCCUGAUGCAGCAACGCCGCGUGCGGGAUGACGUCCUGCGGGUUGGAAAGCGCUUUCGCCUGUGACGAAGCGUGAGUGACGGUAAUGGGUAAAGAAGCACCGGCUAACUACGUG
rnacentral:rRNA from 1 species